GACGAACGCUGGCGGCGUGCCUAAUACAUGCAAGUAGGACGCAGUUGCGAACGGGUGAGUAACGCGUAGGUAACUACCUAUUAGAGGGGGAUCACUAUUGGAACCGAUAGCUAAUACCGCCUACUAGUAGAUGGACCUGCGUUGUAUUUGCUAGUAGGUAGGGUAAUGGCCUACCUAGGCCACGAGACAUAGCCGACCUGGGUGAGUCAUCGGCCAAACGGGGACUGAGAAACGGCCCAGACUCCAACGGGAGGCAGCAGUAGGGAAUCUUCGGCAAUGGGGGGAACCCUGACCGAGCAACGCCGCGUGAGUGAAGAAGGUUUGCGGAUCGUAAAGCUCUGUUGUUAAGGAAGCGGUACUUAACCAGAAAGGGACAGCUAACUACGUGCCAGCAGCCGCGGUAAUUC
rnacentral:rRNA from 1 species